UGGCUCAGAUUGAACGCUGGCGGCAGGCCUAACACAUGCAAGUCGAGCGGUAACACAGAGAGCUUGCUCUCGGGUGACGAGCGGCGGACGGGUGAGUAAUGUCUGGGAAACUGCCUGAUGGAGGGGGAUAACUACUGGAAACGGUAGCUAAUACCGCAUAACGUCGCAAGACCAAAGUGGGGGACCUUCGGGCCUCAUGCCAUCAGAUGUGCCCAGAUGGGAUUAGCUAGUAGGUGGGGUAAUGGCUCACCUAGGCGACGAUCCCUAGCUGGUCUGAGAGGAUGACCAGCCACACUGGAACUGAGACACGGUCCAGACUCCUACGGGAGGCAGCAGUGGGGAAUAUUGCACAAUGGGCGCAAGCCUGAUGCAGCCAUGCCGCGUGUAUGAAGAAGGCCUUCGGGUUGUAAAGUACUUUCAGCGAGGAGGAAGGCGUUAAGGUUAAUAACCUUGGCGAUUGACGUUACUCGCAGAAGAAGCACCGGCUAACUCCGUGCCAGCAGCCGCGGU
rnacentral:rRNA from 1 species